CGCACUUCGCAUUUCUAGGGUUUAUAGAGGAACUCCCUUCCUCUCCUUCCCUUUGCUCGCUUUCAAAUAUAGGAUUUGCUUGCUUGAAGCAGCGAUCGAUUGGCAUUACUGAGGGGAGUUGUAGAUCCGAAGAAGAAAAUGUCAGGCUACUUCUCAUUCAUACCUGGAGAUGUGCUGAGCGACAUCCUUACUAGACUACCCCUCAAAACCCUAAUCCGAUGCACAUCUGUGUGCAAACCAUGGCACACUCUCCUCACAAACCCUAGUUUCAUAACCAAACACCUCAAUCAAUCUCGAUUCAACAACAAGGAACUUCUACUAGUUCGAAUCCACAGUGAUUCUGAUGAUAAAGAGCAUUACGCCCUACGUUACGACGAUAACCACUUGUUCUCGGAGUAUGCACAGCUUGAGUUCCCAUUGAAGAGCAGCUCUUGCAACCAUUAUUUUAGGAUAAUCGGUUGCUGCAAUGGCCUCAUUUGCCUCUCAGACGAUCAGUUCUCUUAUACCAACAAUCUCUUUCUCUGGAACCCUUUCAUUCGAAAGACGAUGCGGCUUCCACCAGUUCGUGUCACCGUUCAGACCCAUGGUCUAUUCAAGCAUAGCAUUGGGUUUGGCUUUGAUUCCAUCACCGAUGAUUACAAGGUCGUCCGGAUUGUGCAUCUCGAGAAUCACAAGAAGCCACCGGAGAUUGACAUUUUCAGUCUAAGCACCGGCACUUGGCGCGACAUCAGUCAUGUGGCUCUUCCACAUACCAUCAUCGAUGAGAGGGCUCCCCAGGCAUUUCUCAAAGGGGCUGCCCAUUGGAUUGCUUCCUCAUCGGAUGCCAAAUUGAUUGUGUCCUUCCACAUGGGUUGUGAGGAAUUUGGUCAAAUUAUGCUGCCUCAUAAUAUCAUGGCUCAUGCCAAUCAAUUGCAGAUUCUAGGUUUUCGUGUUGCUAAGUUCCAGGAUUCACUCGCACUCAUCCACCUUACUGGUGCUAAAGACAAACCUUGUUGCAUAUGGGUGAUGAAAGAGUAUGGUGUAGCGGAGUCUUGGACCAAACAAUUCAAUAUUGACAUGAUUGGACCAUUCAAUAGUGUAGCUGGCUUCACAAGGAACGGGCAACUUGUUCUGGCAAGCAGUGCAGGGUACCUGCUAGCUCGUGAUCCCCAUGCCGGAAGUCUAAUGCAUUUUUUAAUUCGUGGGUCUACACAUCCAACGUAUAGGCACUCAUUUUAUGCAGAUGCUUACUCGAAUAGCCUAGUUCUACUUGGAAUGAGAUUCUGUGAUGCAGGCACUUCUGAGGAAUCAUCACCUGGGGAUCGGUCUGUUGAAGGGAGCAGGGAAGCUAUGAAAACUAAGAAAAGGGAUGAUUUCCUGUCAAAGGGGUUCAAGCUGGUGCUUUAAGCAACUCGAAGAGCAAAGGAGCAAGAAGGUGCAGAUGUAGGGGUAAUAUAUUUUGGGAGUCGGUAUAGAUGCUGAACUGAUGGAGCAGAAAUUGGGCAUAUUGGCAAGUUUGGUGAUGGAAGGAAGGAAAGAAGAUUAAAGAUCUUGUCUUAGAAUAUGUGACAUACUCUUUCUGUUAAAACAAUUUUCUUGUAGUUAAUACUUUGAAUGCUGCUGGCAUGCUUGCAUCCUAUUUUGCUCCUUAAACUUUCUUAAUUA